AAAAUUUUAAAUAAUAUAUAUUAAUUAUUAAAUAAAUAAAUAAAUAGUGGGGUGCUUUGAAAGAAAAAGCAACAGGUUAAAACUAUUAAUUGAGAAAGACAAGCGCAUAUCACACAAGAAUCACAACAAGGAAUUAAUUGCUUGGUUCUAUCAGAAAUUUGAAAAACAUGGGAUACAACUAAUAUGCCGAUUACUACACUAACAUGGAGUCACAGUGGAACCAGUGCAAUGGACGUUUGAAAACUUCGACUGAACGAAGAUUCUAGUAUCCGAGCGAACUUUGACUUGUUGCUGAUUUUUUCUCAAGAUUUGAUUUUGUAAUUAAUCUGUCGAGAAAUGGUGGUGCUCGACGUGUUUCCAAUCUUUUGACACAUGGUUAUUGUACAAGAAGCAGGCUAGCAGUCGAUUAUUCGAUACCUUUAAUUACGGAUGUUAAAUGUGCGAAACUUCUAGUCGAGGCAAUUAGAAUGUUUGGUGGAGAAGCACCAAGGAUGAGAACAUCCACCGAUUGUCCGCAGUCGCGCAGAAUGAUCUGACUACCUGGUUUCAUUGACGUGCAUAUACAUACUUGUGAUCACUCCACAAAGAGGAUUUUGCCUCUUCCCAUGUGGAAAAUUGUUAGAGUAACCUUAAAAAAUGUCAAGGUUUUUGAGGGCUUAAACGUGGAGUCCCUAUUAAGGAUUUCUACAUUACUGCCAUAUUAGGUUCUAGUAAGGUGAUAUCAGAAUUGAACAGCUAAUUUAAUGUAUGGUCUAAAUAAGGAAACCAAUAAAGGUCCUGAUAGGGCUUCAUAAAGGUAACAGUUAUUAAAAUAAAUUGAUAUUUUUAACUUAUAAUUUUUCAAAACUCUUAUUGGUUUCCUUGAUUAGACCAUACAUACAAUUAGCUACUCAAAACUAAUAUUCGUACCGCCCUACUGAGAUCUAAUCUGACAGUAAUGUAAAAAUCUCUAAUAGCACAGACACAUAAUAUCUAUCUGAUAUAUAUUUGAUGAUAUAUAUGUAUCAGACAGAUAUAUAUUUCUUUAAAUAUAUAUCUUCAAAAAGAUUCACUCAGCCCAGAAAACUGUAACUGAAAGGAUAUAUUAUCAGAAUCUCGCAAUAUGUUUAAACAAUAUAUACGAAAGAAUGGGAUGGAGGUCGCAAAAUGUAUGAUUCAUUACGAAAAGAAACGGAAUAUGCAAACAAUAACUAUAAUAAGUUUGUAAUUUUAUGGAGUUAUAUAAUUACAUGAAUCGGUAGGCCGAAAAUCCUCCUCGA